GAUGAACGCUGGCGGCGUGCCUAAUACAUGCAAGUCGAGCGAACGGACGAGAAGCUUGCUUUUCUGAUGUUAGCGGCGGACGGGUGAGUAACACGUGGAUAACCUACCUAUAAGAUUGGGAUAACUUCGGGAAACCGGAGCUAAUACCGGAUAAUAUUUUGAACCGCAUGGUUCAAAAGUGAAAGACGGUCUUGCUGUCACUUAUAGAUGGAUCCGCGCUGCAUUAGCUAGUUGGUAAGGUAACGGCUUACCAAGGCAACGAUGCAUAGCCGACCUGAGAGGGUGAUCGGCCACACUGGAACUGAGACACGGUCCAGUCUCCUACGGGAGGCAGCAGUAGGGAAUCUUCCGCAAUGGGCGAAAGCCUGACGGAGCAACGCCGCGUGAGUGAUGAAGGUCUUCGGAUCGUAAAACUCUGUUAUUAGGGAAGAACAUAUGUGUAAGUAACUGUGCACAUCUUGACGGUACCUAAUCAGAAAGCCACGGCUAACUACGUG
rnacentral:rRNA from 1 species